GACGAACGCUGGCGGCGUGCCUAAUACAUGCAAGUUGAGCGCUGAAGGUUGGUACUUGUACCCACUGGAUGAGCAGCGAACGGGUGAGUAACGCGUGGGGAAUCUGCCUUUGAGCGGGGGACAACAUUUGGAAACGAAUGCUAAUACCGCAUAAAAACUUUAAACACAAGUUUUAAGUUUGAAAGAUGCAAUUGCAUCACUCAAAGAUGAUCCCGCGUUGUAUUAGCUAGUUGGUGAGGUAAAGGCUCACCAAGGCGAUGAUACAUAGCCGACCUGAGAGGGUGAUCCGCCACAUUGGGACUGGGACACGGCCCAAACUCCUACGGGAGGCAGCAGGAGGGAAUCUUCGGAAAUGGACGAAAGGCUGACCGAGCAACGCCGCGUGAGUGAAGAAGGGUUUCGGAUCGUAAAACUCGGUUGGUAGAGAAGAACGUUGGUGAGAGUGGAAAGCUCAUCAAGUGACGGUAACUACCCAGAAAGGGACGGCUAACUACGUG
rnacentral:rRNA from 1 species